UACGUAGGGGGCAAGCGUUGUCCGGAAUUAUUGGGCGUAAAGAGCGCGCAGGCGGUCGUUCAAGUCGCGUGUGAAAGCCCCCGGCUCAACUGGGGAGGGUCACGCGAUACUGAUCGACUCGAAGGCAGGAGAGGGUAGUGGAAUUCCCGGUGUAGUGGUGAAAUGCGUAGAUAUCGGGAGGAACACCAGUGGCGAAGGCGACUACCCGGCCUGUUCUUGACGCUGAGGCGCGAAAGCUAGGGGAGCAAACGGG
rnacentral:rRNA from 1 species